AAACAUAUUCAUAGAAGGUUCCAUUUUAUUCGUGAGUGUGUUGAGAAUGAUCUAGUGGAAGUCAAGCAUGUUCCUGGGAGUGAACAACGAGCAGACAUAUUGACAAAGUCUCUUGGAAGAAUCAAGUUUGCUGAGAUGAGGAAGAUGAUUGGUGUUCAAAUGGUGAGUGAAGAUAACUUCAAGUUUAAGGGGGAGAAUGUUGGGAUAAACUUGAAGUUAGCUUGAGUUGCAAGCUAUCCUAAUCACAUAAGGAUAUGAUUUACUAAAGUGAUUAGGAAAUAUAUGAUUUGUGUUUAUCUUAUAGGAGUAGGAGUUUCCUAAGUUCUAUAUAAGAGGAUACCGAUAUGUGGUUAAUACCUAUGAGUUUAUGAGUGAUUGUGAUUGAAGAUUUUGAGUGAGUUUUAUCCUUUGAGUGAUUAAUAAGAAUCUGAUACUUAUUAAACGUGUUCUUGAGUCUGUGAUCUUGCAAAACCCUGAGACAAUACUCACCGCAAUUGGCGAACCUACAUUGCUCAAGAAGGUGGCAAGUGCCCCCACAAAAUUUUCAAAGUUUGUUAAAUAUGUUUAAACUUUGAUUAUUUUUUUUAGUAAAUAACAUUUUUAUCUAUACUUUUUAAGUUUAUGUUAGAUUUGACCCCACAAGAAAAUAAUUCUACAUUCGCCACUGCUUACUGCCAUAAACAAACAGAUAUUGUAAAGAAACUCAUUAAUCAAAUCUUUAUCUUUUAAGAUCAAUGUCUUGCAAGUAAAAUGUAUAUCAUCAACCCGGUAGAUAUUUUUCCAAUAGAGCUAAAACACCACUAAAUCCACCAGUAUAACCAUAAUUUAUAUUAUCGUAACCUACAAGCUCCGAACUUUAUAUUAUUUAGUUUUCUUCAUUUUUGAAUUUUUUUCUUGACUUGUCCAGAGAGGGUGGCAACAUUAUCUCCUAGACUUGUAUUUAGAGCUCCAAGCAUUUAAUGCACCGUUGUCGCUCCGUUCUCCAUUAGCUCCUACCUCUUUAACUAAAUGUAUCUGUUAUCACCAUUUUUUGAUAUCGCUGGUCCGAUGGUGUCUGCACCAUAGCUGUUAUAUUGUAGUUUGCAAGAGUCCAUGCCCAGCUACUGUAUUGAAACAAUAACAUUGCUUUCUUCGCCGGAAGUCCCGCUUCAGUCCACUUCGUCACGCCCGAGUCUCCGCUUGAUCUUCUUAAUCAUAAAGCGGUUUAAAGGGGAAAAAUGAUAUGCAUGAUGGAAAUGUUAUCAUAUUAAAUUCUUUAUACGGGAUGCGCAAUCUAUAACUAUAAAGUUGAAGUAUCUGCCUUUUUAGGUAAAGCUCUCUAGGUCUAGAUUCGUAUCAGCCCAAACUAAGCCUUUUAUUAAAUCUCCGUCUUCUUAGUGUUGCCGUCUCUUCCGUUUCACCUUACCAGAAACAAAACGUUUCCAUUAGCGUUUAUGGUAUAAAGCUUAAUACAAACAACGACGCUCUUUUCACCACCUUAUUCCAUCUGCGCCACCGCCCUGCAGUCUCUGAUCUAGCCGCAAAUGUCAAGCCUACCAUCGCUCUCUCUCUCAGGCUUCGAGCCCUUUCAGUAUUAAAGCCAGAGACUCUCACUUCCAUUCUAGACCCUCUCAGUCAGAGCCUCGAUAGGUUCUCUCUUGCCGGAUUCGCGGUUCAAGAUUACGCUGAUUCGUAUGAGAGUAACGAAUGGUAGCAGCAACGGACGUGAUGGGUUAUCAGUAUCUGAGCUUCUGAUGUCUCCGGAGAUUUUCAAAGCUGUGAAUAAUGGAGGAAUUCAGAAACUCUUUCCUAUUCAUUUGUGCUUGAGCCAGGAUGCAAGGUGUGCUAGGAAAUGAACUAGAAAGAUUCUUGCUUUUGGAAUUCCCAUCAUUGACAGAAUCAUAAAAUUCAACUCUAAACACAGUCUCUCUCUGUGUAUGCGAAACUAUAAUGAAGUCUACAAGGCACAGUGAGACACAUGAUUCACUCUCCUCUGUGCCAAACUAUAUCCAGAUGUUCUAGAACUAUUCAGUUCCAUGAAACUAUGAAGAAGUCUACAAGGCACAGUUGAUUUGCUGUAGAGAAGCCUUUGACUACUUUGUAGCUCCACUCCUUUCCAGUAACAAGUAGUGUUUCGUCUGUGCAAACGGGCUCACGUUGAUUGCAUUAUUGGAUAUAUGUAAACAUGAGCUGAAGUUAAGGCAGGGAAGCCACUUAAAGUUAAACCUGAUGAAGACUGUCUCAUCCACCUUUCACAGGCAUGUAUUGGUAAUAGGAAGAAGGGUGAAACUGUUCUCAUGUAUGUGACUGUUAAUGGGAAGAAGCUUGUGAUUAGAACUCUUUCUCAGGAGGAGAAGAUUCCUUAGGUCAGCUUCGAUCUGGUCUUUGAGAAGGAGUUUGAACUCUCCCACUCCUUGGUGAGAGGAAGUAUCUACUUCAUUGGCUACAAAACGCCCGACCUCGAUGAAUAGGUGGAUUCCUCUUCUUCUGAGGAUUACUCUUCUUCUGACUCAGAAGAAGAGGAGGAAGUGGAGGUCCCUUCAACUGCACUGCCAAUGUAAGUGCUGGAGCUGCUGCUUCGAGUGUUGUCAAGUCUGACUCAAAGCCAAAGGUAAAAUGAGAAAGUAGUGAGCUUUGCAUUUCGUAACGAUCAACGUUGAAUGCCGCCUCUGUAAUGUAUAAAGCUAUCAUUCAAGCAGCCUAAUUAAGAAUCUGAAAAUGCUUCUAGGAUUUAAUAUCUCUUUGAGAGACGGCUUAGCUUUUUAAGAUUUUGGUAUAAGAAAGAACAAAUAAGCAAAGAUUUUUUUGUUAUUGUGAUUUCAGCCCAUGGCUCGGCUCGGUCAAAGUGUACCGGUUUAUGUUUGUUGUAAUUUGAACAUUUGUUCAGCAUAGGAAGUUUACCAUAUUCUGUUAUACAAAUAUAAUUUUUUUGGGAGUUACUCAGUUAAGAAAAAUAUUAAAAAAAUGAAAAUUAUAAUAAUAUUUUUGUUCCUUUUUUUGAACAGCAUUUUUGUUCCUACUAUUGUAUUAUUUAUUGUUAUAUUAAUGAUGAUUUAUGAGUUAUUAAAAUAUUUUUAAAAAUUUACCAAAAAUAUAAAUCAACAUUAAAUAUAAAUAUACAUGCCACAACUAAAUUUAAAUCAUGUCAUCAUAGUUAAAAUAACAUGUCAGCAUUUUCUUUUCCGAAAUCAAUAUAGUAAUGACACAUAGCAAAUCAGUUCUCAAAUAAUAUUUUGGAGAUUUAAUCCGUAAAAUGUGCUAUUUAAAGGUUACCGGUUUUCUCAGUAAAUCAUCCCAAGACUCUCUUCAUUUCAUCUGGAUAUUGGACAAGAAACAUACCAAAUGCUGAAAUCGAUGUUGCAAAAUACUAAUAUUAUCUAGGAUAUUUUGUUCUAAAUUUCUUUCUCGCAUGGCAAAGAAAAUAAUGACAUGAUUCUUACAACUCAUCUCAUGACCAUUGUAUCUUCAAUCACUGUAUUUCAAUUGUUCCUAAUUCCACCACUUUCUGAAGAAAGAUAAAAACAAAUCGAUAUAGAUACUAAUUAUAUAAUGAAAAUCCAAGGAUCAAUGCAAAAGAGAACCUAAUUUUCAAUAGCGUAAGUAAAAAUUUAUUGUUAGUA